UAUCUAUUUAUUAUCUCCUAAAAAUUAUCUUAACUCUUAGCUCAAAUUUGACAUGUAGUAUAUAUGCUGAUAAUAUAUAUAUUGGAAACCUGCAUAAGUUAAGCUAGUGGCUCUCAUUCUUUCUGAAGGCUCAGUUGCUUUUGGAAAUAGGCAUAUCUACAUUCUUUGCGCUAUGAAUGUUGAUUCUUUCAGUUAGGUCUGAGGCUGCAGCAGAAUGCUAUAAAUGUUUGAGUGUUUUUGUAACAGGAAUGUUAUUAUGAUUGUGGAAUAGGCUAUAGGGUUUGUUGUCUGACAUUACUCUUACCAAAGGAGGGAGAUCAGGCUUGCUAUUACAUUUUACUUGGAAUUACUGACUGCUUGAGAUAUCCCAAAGAAUUGUUAGCCAAAAAAUCUUCAUUGAUUUAACUUUAUAUGGAGACUAUAUAGCUUUUAUGUUUUAGGCUCGUUGCUUAUCCUUGUUCCAAUGAGAAAAACUUUUUAAUAACUCCAACAAGACAGUAAGAAUGCAUAUGAGAUGCUGCAAGCUUCGUCCGCAAAUGUAAAAAUAGUAGAACUUUAAGCACUUGUUAUAACUAAGCGGAUAAAAGGUGCCCUGACAUUACCAUCUUCAAGCAAAUAAAAAUUUAUGCUUUAGUAGUGAAACAUCCUGAACUGGUUGAAAGAACUGGUGUACUUUGCUGAGUUGUUUCCAUAUCUUUAUUAUUAACUUGAAUGAGAUAAAACCUAAAGUUAUAUUUAUUACUAAUUUCAUUCUAGCAUGGUUGGCACAGGUGCACUUGUUUGAUGGUGAAUUGCAUUCUCUGACUCCAUGCAGGUUCUUGACAAAUGCUUACCUUCGGGAAGAGGCUCCAAAUAGUCAUGUGGUGGAACAACGGGUUUGAAUGGCAAGUCUGGAGACUUCUUCCUAUCUUUCCAGAAAUUUAAUCUCCUGUGUGAGCUGUUUAUACUGAUUUAAUUAUUAAUUGACAGAUCUGGUCAUCAAUGCUUUAUGUUUUCCGCAAGCAGCAGAGUGGCUUGUGAAUAUUAGCAUCUAAAAUAAUUGUGUGGUGCUGACUGUAGCUUUCCUUUGUUUGAAGGCUGUAUGCAUUUGAUGUACACUGAAAUUUUUCUUCCCAAUGUUUGUACUGCUUUACGUAAUUCAUUAUUUUGUGUCACCGCUUCUAGUAGCCCAUGGUUUUAUCCCUGAACUUUUGUCGAAUCUGCUUUUCAUGGUGGCAGCUUCUUACUAUCACUACCUCAACUUUUUAGGUUAUGAUGUACUUCCCUUUCUGGAGAGAAUAACCUUUUUCCUCUACCCAAUUGGAGUCAUAAUCGUUUUCUCGCCAAUCU